rnacentral:rRNA from 1 species
AACGAACGCUGGCGGCAUGCCUAACACAUGCAAGUCGGACGCUUUUGGGGUUUCGGCCUCAAGGGAGUGGCGGACGGGUGAGUAGCGCGUGGGAACCUGCCCCUUUGUGGGGGAUAACCGAGGGAAACUUCGGCUAAUACCGCAUGCGCCCCCGGAGUUGAUCCGGGGGGAAAGCUUUAUCGCAGAGGGAGGGGCCCGCGUCGGAGUAGCUAGUUGGUGGGGUAACGGCCUACCAAGGCGAUGAUCCGUAGCUGGUCUGAGAGGAUGAUCAGCCACACUGGGACUGAGACACGGCCCAGACUCCUACGGGAGGCAGCAGUGGGGAAUAUAGGACAAUGGGCGCAAGCCUGAUCCAGCCAUACCGCGUGGGUGAAGAAGGCCUUCGGGUUGUAAAGCCCUUUUGUUGGGAAAGAAAUCCAGCUGGCUAAUACCCGGUUGGGAUGACGGUACCCAAAGAAUAAGCACCGGCUAACUUCGUGCCAGCAGCCGCCGUAACAC